UUGACCUCGGAUCAGGUAGGGAUACCCGCUGAACUUAAGCAUAUCAAUAAGCGGAGGAAAAGAAACCAACAGGGAUUGCCUUAGUAACGGCGAGUGAAGCGGCAAUAGCUCAAAUUUGAAAGCUGGCCCCUUCGGGGUCCGCGUUGUAAUUUGUAGAGGAUGAUUCGGCGAGGGCUCCCGUCUAAGUCCCUUGGAACAGGGCGUCAUAGAGGGUGAGAAUCCCGUAUGUGAUGGGCUGCCUUAGCCAUGUGAAUCUCCUUCGACGAGUCGAGUUGUUUGGGAAUGCAGCUCUAAAUGGGAGGUAAAUUUCUUCUAAAGCUAAAUACCGGCCAGAGACCGAUAGCGCACAAGUAGAGUGAUCGAAAGAUGAAAAGCACUUUGGAAAGAGAGUUAAAAAGUACGUGAAAUUGUUGAAAGGGAAGCGCUUGCAGCCAGACUUGUCCGCAGUUGCUCAGCUUGUCUCCUGACAGGCGUACUCUUCUGCGGCCAGGCCAGCAUCAGUUCGGGCGGUCGGAUAAAGACCUGGGGAAUGUAGCUCCUCUCGGGGAGUGUUAUAGCCCUGGGUGCAAUGCGGCCAGCCUGGACUGAGGAUCUCGCUCGGCUAGGAUGCUGC
rnacentral:rRNA from 1 species